UGUGAUGUUGGUCAGCACACUCAUCUGUUGGCUUAUGUAUCGGAGCUGGGGAUCCGGCGCUUUCCUCGGAGUGCACUGGCUUCUUAUUGAUGCUGCAUCACAUUUUAGAGGCCUGCAGAGACAAGAUCAUUGGACAGAGACAACAUGUUGUUUCCUUUCGCGCAGGACAAGCAACUCAUUCAAAAUGAGAUUAAAUUGUCAAGAGCAAAAGAGACAGCAGGUUAGGAAGACUACGCUAAGGAGACAGAGCAAUGCACAAGAGAUCACCAUCAACAGGAUCUGUUUGAAUCUUCAAAUGCGAGCAAACAACUAAACAGAACAACAUUUAAAGAGAGUCGGAUACUGGCAGGGCAUUGGAAAGUGGUACAACACCAGCAGCACAGCACAACAAUACAGGUAAUAUGUCUGAAGAUGUGUAUUAUUGUGUAUUAAAGCCAAAAAAUGACAUUUUCCUGUUUUGUCUGUCUAUAUAUUCUCUGUCAUGCACAAAUGUCCAAAAAACAUUUUAUUAACUUUCAGUGGAAGGUUACUUUAAAUAAAGAUUUUAUUC
rnacentral:lncRNA from 1 species